CUCAGUGUGACCUCCCUCACAGGCAGCCAGGAGUGGGGAUUUCCUGAACUGUAAAAACAUUUGUCUCAGUGUGACCUCCCUCACAGGCAGCCAAGAGUGGGAAUUUCUCGAACUGUAAAAACAUUUGGUACGUAUCUUACAUUACUGUUAGGAACUAUAGAAAGUCAGUGAUCAGUGACUUUUUUAUACUAGCUAGCUAGGUGACACCUACCACAUCAAGCUGGUUUACGUCUGCUCCCCUGUCAAUGAACAACUUUGCAGUCUCAGUGUGACCUCCCUCACAGGCAGCCAGGAGUGGGGAUUUCCCGAACUGUAAAAAACAUUUGGUACGUAUCUUACAUUACUGUUAGGAACUAUAGAAAGUCAGUGACUUGUUUUAUGAGCUAGCUAGGUGACACUUACCUUAUCAAGUUGGUUUACAUCUGCUCCCCUGUCAAUCAACAACUUUGCAGUCUCAGUGUGACCUCCCUCACAGGCAGCCAGGAGUGGGGAUUUCCCUAACU